CCUACGGGAGGCUGCAGUGAGGAAUAUUGGUCAAUGGACGAGAGUCUGAACCAGCCAAGUAGCGUGAAGGAUGACUGCCCUAUGGGUUGUAAACUUCUUUUAUAUGGGAAAAAAAUGUUCCACGUGUGGGAUUUUGUAUGUACCAUAUGAAUAAGGAUCGGCUAACUCCGUGCCAGCAGCCGCGGUAAUACGGAGGAUCCGAGCGUUAUCCGGAUUUAUUGGGUUUAAAGGGAGCGUAGGUGGAUUGUUAAGUCAGUUGUGAAAGUUUGCGGCUCAACCGUAAAAUUGCAGUUGAAACUGGCAGUCUUGAGUACAGUAGAGGUGGGCGGAAUUCGUGGUGUAGCGGUGAAAUGCUUAGAUAUCACGAAGAACUCCGAUUGCGAAGGCAGUUCACUGGACUGCAACUGACACUGAGGCUCGAAAGUGUGGGUAUCAAACAGGAUUAGAUACCCUUGUAGUC
rnacentral:rRNA from 1 species